UAGCGCGCAGGGAAGGCUGGUCACCCCACCCUAAUCUUGUUAUGCAAAUAGGCUUCCCACUUGGCAGGGGCCGUCUUGUCCACUCGUUUCUGUAAACAUGGGUGGCAAAAAGAGAAGAUGGAGCUGCCAUUUAGAACAUGCCUAAUCCCAGCUUCAUCUUGCUGAGCAAAAAUGAAGGAGCCUGGACCCAACUUUGUUACUGUGAGAAAGGGUCUUCAUUCAUUCAAGAUGGCAUUUGUUAAGCACCUACUGUGAGUAGAUGAUCUCCUGUCAAAGACAGUUAACAAAUCCUCGGAAUAUUGCUUCAUGUACAGUUAUUGGAGAUGAGUAACUUACAUUCUCUUAAUUGUAAUGGUUCCUUGGAAAGUCAUCGUGGAAAAUGAAGGCUGGCUCAUACAUUUUCCCAGACAGGAAUUUGGCUGCCAACAGGGAAUUCUAAACAACUAAAAACUCCAGAUGAUGAAUGCACAACAUAAUGAUGGUUAAAUUAAAAAAAAAAAAGAGCACGACAAACCUUGGAAAUCAAGAAAGUUCUGGAAUGAUGAAGCUGUUCAUGCCAAGACCGAAAGUGCUGGCCCAGUAUGAGUCCAUUCAGUUCAUGCCGUGACAAUUUUCUUGGAACUCCUUUUUAUUGUUAGUUCUCACUUGUUUCCAUAUUUAGUGAAUGUACAUUUAAUUGCAAAGCUGUCAUUAAUAAAAAUUCUUAUAGUACCUCA
rnacentral:lncRNA from 1 species